rnacentral:rRNA from 1 species
UACGUAGGGUCCGAACGUUAUUCGGAAUCACUGGGCUUAAAGGGUGCGUAGGCGGCGCGGAAAGUUGGGUGUGAAAUCCCUCGGCUCAACCGAGGAACUGCGCCCAAAACUGCCGUGCUCGAGGGAGAUAGAGGUGAGCGGAACUUAGGGUGGAGCGGUGAAAUGCGUUGAUAUCCUAAGGAACACCGGUGGCGAAAGCGGCUCACUGGAUCUCUUCUGACGCUGAGGCACGAAAGCUAGGGUAGCGAACGGG